UACGUAGGGGGCAAGCGUUGUCCGGAAUCAUUGGGCGUAAAGCGCGUGUAGGCGGCCCAGUAAGUCCGUUCUGAAAGCCCGGGGCUCAACCCCGGGAGGCGGAUGGAUACUGUUGGGCUCGAGUCCGGAAGAGGCAAGUGGAAUUCCCGGUGUAGCGGUGAAAUGCGCAGAUAUCGGGAGGAACACCAAUGGCGAAGGCAGCUUGCUGGGACGGUACUGACGCUGAGACGCGAAAGCGUCGGGAGGCAAACAGGGAGUUAGAUAUCCCGGGAUGACGGUUACCCGACGGAAGCCAAACCGAUCGUGACA
rnacentral:rRNA from 1 species